UACGGAGGGUGCAAGCGUUAUCCGGAUUUACUGGGUGUAAAGGGAGCGUAGGCGGCGAUGCAAGUCAGAAGUGAAAGCCCGGGGCUCAACUCCGGGACUGCUUUUGAAACUGCCAAGCUAGAGUGUCGGAGAGGUAAGUGGAAUUCCUAGUGUAGCGGUGAAAUGCGUAGAUAUUAGGAGGAACACCAGUGGCGAAGGCGGCUUACUGGACGAUGACUGACGCUGAGGCACGAAAGCGUGGGGAGCAAAUAGG
rnacentral:rRNA from 1 species